CGGCGGGCUGCAAGGCUAGGCUUCGGAGCCCGUUUGGUGCGUUAAGCCUCGAGGGACCGGGUCGUGGCCCUGACUGAAGACUCGCUCUGACUCAGCCGGCGCAGGCGUGGCGUCCCUGUUCUCUUGGUGUCAAGAAACAACCAAAGCAGUAGAGAAUUUUUAUGAAUUUAUUUGAGCCAAACUGACAACUGCCAUGAAGCAAAAUCUCAAUGGAUGGAGAAAAGCUCUGGAGAAUGACAGUUUUGCAGCUGCUUUUUUUCUUUUUUUUAAAUACAUUAAAAUUAAGGAGGAGACGUAAGGAGGGUUUCAUGAAAUCUAUGGGUGGCAAGUAAUGCUCAGAGAAAGCAAAGAAGAAAACUCUGGGAUUGGAUAAAAAGCAAAAUGGAGAGACACAUACUUCUUUUACAUUGGUGAGUACAGGAUAGUGAAUAACAUUUAGGGCACACAGAGAUGGUAAUCUGGUAACAAGAUAACAAUGAGGAGUUCUGUGGUCUCUGUGCUCUGGUGCUGCAGUUGUACCCUGAGGGGUCUGGAAAAGGGAUUAUUAUGACAUUCCAAGGGUAUGUUAUCAUAGAUGCAAAAAGACAGUAGAUAGGCUUGCUUAAGAUAAAGAUUGACUUUGUCAAGGAAAUUACAGGCUUGGGAUGUGACUACCUGCCAUGCAUGAUCUGCUUUUAGUCAGGAACUUUUAUGUUCAGCCUAUCCUAUGUGGUUACUUAUGGUCUCUGAGUUUGAAAGGCAUGUCAUGCAGGCCUCCCCUGAGUUUGUCAGGUUUACUAUAUGGUCCUUAUUUUGACCACAUAGGCUUGGAAGUAAGUUGUCGAUGUUGUUAUUGUUGUUGUUAUUGUUUUCUCAUGAGAAAAUUUAAAAGGGGAAAAAUAUGGCUAGUGUUUGGUUUUCUAGGUAUAGGUUCUAGAUUAUAUUCAAUGAUUGAGGUUUUAUUGGACUUCCUUCCAGUCAGUGAAAUUUCUAUACCCGGGGUUCAUUAAGCUAUUCUUAAUAUAACUGAAGAUUUUCAUGUUGAUUUCUUUAACUUAUUUUGAGUUGACCCAACUGAGGCUCUAUUUGAUAUGUUCAAAACUUUGUUCCCUAUUUUUCUGGAUGAGCUCCAUGAGGCAGGGGUAGAGUUUUCUUAAUAGGCUCAGUUCUAGGCCUAUAGUAUGUGCAUAAUAAUACAUAUUAAAUACUGAAUGAAAUAAAUGGGUGUUGCUGUCAAGAGAUUUAACAUGCCUUUGUCCAUUCUCCAUAAGCAUGGAUUUACCAAAUGUUGAGAGAAUUCUGAAAGAUUUUGAUUAUAAUAAUUGUAGACACUAAGACCAAAGCUAGAUUUGUCUCUAAAAGGAAUGAGUUUCAACUGUCUGCACAGAAAACCUUCCUAAAGGUCAGGUGUUGCAAGCUGACCUGUGAAGUGGAGGUAAUGUCUGUCCCUUAGCCUUGAGAUCAUUUUAGUGACUGAGGUCAAAGGGAAAGUAUUGACAGUGAACUUCCUAAGGUCCUGACAGGAAUAGAACUGGAGAGAGUCAAGGCUUUGAGUGAAGUAGGAGAGUAAACACUAGUGGUUCCUCCAACUUUCCCUAAAGAUGUUGUCAAACUGCCAAAAGAAAAUGAGGAGAGAAUGGAGAAUAUGCAUGUUUGUAGACCAGGUUUUGAGCGGUGUGGUAGAUCUCCUUUAAGGCUUUAUGAAUGGCAGUAGGAUGGCAGUAAGUCUGUGUGGAUGUCAUUAAACAGACAUCAACUUCUUUAAAAUACAACCAUGUUAGAUGAUUCUUUGCCCUCUAAAUUAGGAUAUUUACAUUAUGCUUUCCUGAGGUGAGGGUAGCAGUCUGAAUGGACCUGCGAAUGCUCUCAGAAAUCGCUGUCCGUGGACCUGAUGAAUUACAUAUCAAGAUUUGUGAAAACCCGAAAGAGAACGGGUAAACAGGAUAGCUAAGCCGUCUUUGUGAUGUUGGCCCUGGGAGCUGUGCCUCUGUUGUACCUGGUAAGCACCCGCCAGCCCAUAGCUGUUACCAGCAACAGUGUUACUGUGGUAUGCCACAGCCCAAGCAGGCAUUCUGACACAAACCAAAUAGAAAAAGGAGGGCAUUUCUCAGAAGGAAUGUAUUUUCAUUUGGUUUCCUCUUGGCUUUUGAUGACUUUAAAAAGUAAAUGUAUUACAAAGCAUAUUCCAUAAGUAGAUUUGCAAAGAAAAAACUUUUGUUCCUUUCUCAUUAUAAUGCUGCAAUCACAAUAUUUCAUUUAAGCUUCAUAGUCUUAAACUAACAUCUCACAAGUGUACAAAAACGUGAACAAAACGAAGUUAGAAUAUUAGCACUAGAAAUAGCUUUGGACAUCAAUUGGUCCAGCCCCUACUUUUCAGAUGAAAAAUGUAAGGCCAGAAGUUAACAGAAUUGCUCAAUAAUACAAAGUUAGGCAAUAUGGCAUUUUAUACAUUGUAUACACAGUAUUUCCCAUAGAUAACUGUUGUAAUAGAGAUAAAGUCUAAUGGAUUUCUUGCAAUUAAAAAAAUCAGAGGCAUCAGAUAAUUGUUAAUUACAUUGCUCACUGACUUAAGUCUGAGGAAAAAAACACAAAAUUAUUUUUGUGAUAGAGAAUUUUAAUUCUAAGAAAAGCCAAUUACUAAGCAAUUAAUUUAUAGUCCUUUAAAAGUUUGUUCUUCAGUAACUCAAGAAAUAAAAGAUUUUAUUUGGUGA